AUUGUUGAUGGUGGAGGGGGCACCCUGUGUAUUGUAGGACGUUGAGCAGCUUCUCUGACUUCUACCUACUAGAUGCCAGUAUCUCAGUUUUCUUAAAAGACUUUUUUUUUUUUUUGAGAUGGACUCUUGCUGUGUUGCCUAGGCUGGAGUGCAGUGGCACCAUGUCGACUCACUGCAACCUCCGCCUCCCCGGGUCAAGCGAUUCUCCUGCCUCAGCUUCCUGAGUAGCUGGGAUUACAGGUGAGCACCACCAUGCCCAGCUAAUCGUAAAAGACUUUUCAUAAAACUUCAGAACUCCUUAAAAACUAGUGAAUAGCCAAGGUGAAGAAAGGCCUCAGGCUUCUGACUUUAGACCCCAAUCCCUGGGACUCCCACACUCAGCAAAGAAAGCUGGGUGCCUGCACCUUGGAUCUCUGAGCAAAUCUGUCUUAUGGCUGUGGGCAACUCAGGAACAUGAAUUAGCACGAGAAUCUGGAGUUUUUCUUUCCUUUUCUGGGUCUCACUCUGUCACCCAGGCUGGAGUGCAGUGGUGCAGUCAUGGCUCCCUGUAACCUCAACCUCUCAGAC
rnacentral:antisense_RNA from 1 species